rnacentral:rRNA from 1 species
GAUGAACGCUGGCGGCGUGCCUAAUACAUGCAAGUCGAGCGAACGGACGAGAAGCUUGCUUCUCUGAUGUUAGCGGCGGACGGGUGAGUAACACGUGGAUAACCUACCUAUAAGACUGGGAUAACUUCGGGAAACCGGAGCUAAUACCGGAUAAUAUUUUGAACCGCAUGGUUCAAAAGUGAAAGACGGUCUUGCUGUCACUUAUAGAUGGAUCCGCGCUGCAUUAGCUAGUUGGUAAGGUAACGGCUUACCAAGGCAACGAUGCAUAGCCGACCUGAGAGGGUGAUCGGCCACACUGGAACUGAGACACGGUCCAGACUCCUACGGGAGGCAGCAGUAGGGAAUCUUCCGCAAGGGGCGAAAGCCUGACGGAGCAACGCCGCGUGAGUGAUGAAGGUCUUCGGAUCGUAAAACUCUGUUAUUAGGGAAGAACAUAUGUGUAAGUAACUGUGCACAUCGUGACGGUACCUAAUCAGAAAGCCACGGCUAACGACG